AUGAACUGGUUUUCAACGUGACGUGCGAUGUACCUCAUAGUAAAGUGCUUUGUCAGUCAAGGUAAGUUUUCCGGGCCAUGCAAUGUUAUUCUCCCAUUUAAGAACGGGCCUUUUUCGGCUAGAUCCGAGGCAUAAGAUUCGUUCUCCAGAAAUAUGAGGAAUCCCUUUUACAUGGUAUGAUUUCCUUCCUUCAUACACUCUUCAACGGUGGGAAAAUUUGUCAAAGAAAUAAUCCUCAGUAGGAGAUCAAGAAAACUAUUUGUUCAAAACCGAAAGUAGUAAUAUUCUGUCCCAAUAUACAUGCUAAAACUUUCCUUUUGGGAAUGUGCUGACUCCUGAAAAUAGAGGUGGCAAAACAGGUCGUCCGGGUAACGGGUUAGGGAGACCCGCCAACAUAUUUUCAUCCAAAAAAAUUUAAUAUUGUAGAUGUAUUAAACGAUUGCAAAAAAACUAUGUUAUUAAACUAAUAAUAUAUUUUUCUUCAAAUAAACCGUUUUGAGAAGUUGAAAGGAUUUAAAUAUAUACCCGUUCAGCCAAUUUGACCCGUUAUCAAAACCAACGCAACCCGAAUUGACCCAUUUCAUACACAUGAGGUUGACAUGCCCCUUUUACUUGAAUAAAUAACAUUAUCCUUUAAGGAAAGUCUUAGUCCAAAAUUACGUUGCAUAUUAGUUGUCAAGGUUCCUUGUUUUGUAAUUGUUGAGGGGUAGUUUAGGCAUUUAACUAAUGAUAAGAGAAAGUGUUAAUGAGAUGCUUACUUGAGAAGUUCAUCGAUAUAUUUGGACCAUACUUGGAAGGAGAUGGUUUUCUGACCACCGGAAAGAGCUUUGAAAAGGUUAUGUACCGUUGGCCAAUCUGCUAGGCCCGAGAUGGCAGGGGCAAUGCGGACAAAAGCCUCUUCUCCAACAAGCUUCCUCUUUAAUAAAUAUAAUAAUAAUGUUUUUAAGGUAUAACUCAUGACACCUUCUGUUUAAUGCAUAGAAUGUUGAAACAUGAAUAGAAGUAGAGGGGGCGAUAUGAGCCUGACAGGAAUCAGGUCAAGACCAAGAUGGUUCAUUUUAAGAAUGGUCACCAGCAACCAUAUUUGAAUGCAUUCCUUAUAAAAUAUAUAUAAUAAUUCAUGUGCUAAUUAUAACUUAUUUUAUUUAAUAAUAGUAAUCUAAAUCUUUGAUCAAAAUGAUUUUUGAUGUUGUAUGUACUUUUCAAGUGAAUAAGGUGACACUCCUAGUCUCCUUUUUAUGCAUAGAUGUUGACACAUAAAUAGAAGUAGAGGUGGCAACAUGUGCAUGACGCUAUCGAGUUGAAAUGGGCCAAAAUGGGCACGAACAUUCACUUUUUAGUCCAUAGCUUAAAUAAUAUAUAAAUAAUUAAUGAGCUAAUUAUGAUUGAUUUUUUCAAAAAAAAAAACAAUCUGAUCAAAAUGAUUUAUGAUGUUGUAUCAUCAUCAUCAUCAUCAUCAUCAUAAUCAGUAAAUUCCACCAAUAGCAAAGCUAAGGUAGGGUCUAAGGAGGGUAAGAUGUAGACAGCCUUACCUCUACCCCGUAGGAAUAGAGAGGCUGCUUCCAGUGAGACCCCCGGCUCGAUAGUAGUUUUACAUCAAGCCUUGGACAUAAGGCACAUAACAAUUAGCAAUCGGGAAAAAGGCCGAUUAUUGCAUGUACCCUUUUGCCUUUCGGUUAUCAACACCACCGCAUGAAGCAUCAUUAACCGUCCCCCGUUUUUAACGUUAUUUUCACGAAAUUUAGUAAAAUAACGUCAAAAUUAGUGCAAUUUCACUUUUGCCCCCCGAGAGCCCAUACAUAUAUGCAUUAUAUGCGGACACCGCAAGCUGGACGUGAUUUACGAUGUUGUAUGUAUUCAAAACACACAUCAGGUGACUUUCAACCCGUUUGACCGAUUUAACCAACUUGAGAUGAAACACACACAAAAUUGACCUAUUAAUAAAUAUAAAGGUCGAAACUGAAACAUCUAUAUAGAAGCAUCAAUUCAACACGUCGUAUGCGCAUGAAGUGCCAAAGCAGAAACUACAAAAAAAAAAAAAAAAAAAAAAA
rnacentral:lncRNA from 1 species